CCUGCCCUGGAGUUUCCCGGGAGAAAUCAGAUUAUUAUAAUCCAAUCACAAGAGACUCUCUCUUCCAUGGGUGCUUAUGGGACAGGAGUACACUCGAUACAACUGCUAUGCUCACUCAGAGACUGGCUUCCAGGAACUUCAUGGCUAGGAAAACACAGAACUAGAGCUUAAAUCCAGGCUCCCUGUAUCCCAAUAUGGUGUAUGGACUAAAAUGUGAUCCGUCUCUGUGUGAGGCCAUGACGGGAGGUGGACGUGGAAAUCCCUGUCUGGCUCCUUCUGCCUACUGUUCAAUAGUUUGUCACUAUUCUGCUAAAACCACAGUCCCCUUGCCCAGCUCCCUCUCCUUCCUGCAUGAGGAAGUCUUCCAUUUCCCAGGGACAUCGGAGCAGGAGAUUUCUGCAACCAUCUUUUCACUGAUACGUCUUUUCCCAGCAAGACCGUGAGGAUCUUUCUAGACCACCAGUUGGAAUAUAUCAUUCUUCAGCUAAAAUCUUUAUCAAGAGCCCUCGCAGCCUUUAGAAGAAGUUUUAAACUUGGGUCAGGCCUCAUGAUGGGGAUCUCUCCUUCUAGAGCCUUCUCUUCACCUUUGGGACCCAGAUUGAAUAUACAGCUUGCAUUUUUGUAUUAUUGUACACAGACUGCCCCCUGUCUCACCUCUCCUCUCUCUGGAUCUAUUGAGCCUUCUCCCAUCUGUGACGUCACCUUUCCUGCACAAGAGGCCCUUGUGCUACUUUGUUCUUCCCCAGCACAGCACGGCACAGUAAAGCAAUAGAAGCUUUACUCACAGGCAUGCUCCAGAGAACCAUAAAAUCCCUUGUCAAUCA